GCUGCCCCUUGCAGGGUGCUGGAGAAAGGCCAGACCUCUGGGAGGCAGUCCUGGGAGAGGUUUGCCCCCGCUGGCUCAGGGUUUGGCUCCUAUUUCCUCCUGUCAGAGAAAUGCGCCGCGCAUCCGAAGCCGUGUGUUCCGCGAUUGCAUUCCAGCUGCUCGGGCUGCUCAGCAAAGACACGCCAUGCCGGGAUUUGGCCGCCCUGGCGUUCCUUGUGGAGGUGAGCCUGAAGGCCAGCGCUGCCUCGCUGAGCUGCCUCCCGGCUCUCUGCCCUCUCUUGGCCGCAGUGCCUGGGACGGAGCCCGCGCCCUGUGCUGCUGCCUGGGCCCGGCCCUGUGCGGUUCUGGGCUCCCGCCGGCCGCUCCCCCGUCACUGCCCUGUGCCUUUCAGGUCCUGGAGCGCCUGAACCUGAGUGAACGCCGUGACAGCGUCCUGGAGUUCUUGUCAAAGAACCUGCAGAGCGAGUGCAGGGGGAGGCGUCGCUUGGCACUCAGAGGCCUCGUGGUGCUCGGCACCACCAGUGCCUCGGUGAGAAGAGCGCAGGGGCUGAAGCCGUGCUGCCAGCGUGGGGCUGGGGAAGGCAGUCCCUGGGGCUCGGCUGGCCUUGGGGCACUGAGGCAGCUGCUGCCAGCUCUCCUGCCUCCUGCUGCAGCUGCCCCAGUGCUUUGGCACAGGCCUUUGGCCCCUGGGCCCUGUGGCAGCAGGAUGGUGUUUCACACACUUGUGUUCCACAAGUAGAUGGCCAUAAGGAUGUGGAGCCUGCAUGAAAGGCUCGUGGAGCUCCUGCCGGAAAAUGACAGCGUCAUGCUCAGGAUGACCACAGGUCUCCUCAGAGCUGUAUUUCUCUGCAAUGGUGCCCCAAUAACCAGCACCCUCGCCCUGCAGCUGGCUGAGGCGCUCCUGCCACUCUUUGACAACGAGGAUAGCCAGGUGCAGUUGAGCUCCAUGUUUAUCUUCCGAGACAUGCUGGAUCAUUUUCCGGAAGAGGAAAAAAAGGCCCUGAAGGCACACGUGCGCCAGAGCCUGCUGCCACUCUCCUUCCACUGCCAUGAUGAGAACCAGCGAGUGGCAGAGGCUUCUCAGGAAACGCUGCUUUGUGCGGCCGAGUUCCUGAAGCAGAGGGAUCUCGAAAAGCUGCUGAAGAACCAGAAGCCGUGGAAGUUCACCGAGUGCCUGCUGGCAGAGGACAGCAGCAGCGUGGCCGAGCACCUGCGCCGGGCCCUGCCCUACCUGCAGAGCCCACAGGAGCCCCUGCGAGAGGCGGCCGUCAGGUUCAUGGGGACGGCCGGGCGGUACCUGAGGGGGAGGAAGGAAGAGCUCCAGCUCAUCUCUGAGGGUGAGUGAGGGCAGCGGGCUGCCAGCGGGGGCUGGCGGGGAGCUGCGAGCCCUGCCCCGGCUGCGGAGGGCUCUGCUCCCUGUGCGGACCAGGGGCGGCGUGGGCAGAGCACACAGAGGUUUCAGGGCACCUGGG
rnacentral:lncRNA from 1 species